rnacentral:rRNA from 1 species
GACGAACGCUGGCGGCGUGCCUAAUACAUGCAAGUUGAGCGCUGAAGGUUGGUACUUGUACCAACUGGAUGAGCAGCGAACGGGUGAGUAACGCGUGGGGAAUCUGCCUUUGAGCGGGGGACAACAUUUGGAAACGAAUGCUAAUACCGCAUAAAAACUUUAAACACAAGUUUUAAGUUUGAAAGAUGCAAUUGCAUCACUCAAAGAUGAUCCCGCGUUGUAUUAGCUAGUUGGUGAGGUAAAGGCUCACCAAGGCGAUGAUACAUAGCCGACCUGAGAGGGUGGUCGGCCACAUUGGGACUGAGACACGGCCCAAACUCCUACGGGAGGCAGCAGUAGGGAAUCUUCGGCAAUGGACGAAAGUCUGACCGAGCAACGCCGCGUGAGUGAAGAAGGUUUUCGGAUCGUAAAACUCUGUUGGUAGAGAAGAACGUUGGUGGGAGUGGAAAGCUCAUCAAGUGACGGUAACUACCCAGAAAGGGACGGCUAACUACGUG